UACGGAGGGUGCAAGCGUUAUCCGGAUUCACUGGGUUUAAAGGGUGCGUAGGAGGGCAGGUAAGUCAGUGGUGAAAUCCCCGAGCUUAACUUGGGAACUGCCGUUGAUACUAUCUGUCUUGAAUAUCGUGGAGGUGAGCGGAAUAUGUCAUGUAGCGGUGAAAUGCUUAGAUAUGACAUAGAACACCAAUUGCGCAGGCAGCUUACUACACAGUAAUUGACACUGAGGCACGAAAGCGUGGGGAUCAAACAGG
rnacentral:rRNA from 1 species